UGUACACCACUGUGCAGAUACAUC
rnacentral:siRNA from 1 species